rnacentral:rRNA from 1 species
GACGAACGCUGGCGGCGUGCUUAACACAUGCAAGUCGAACGGUGAAAGCGGAGCUUGCUCCGCUGGAUCAGUGGCGAACGGGUGAGUAACACGUGGGCAACCUGCCCCUCACUUCGGGAUAACUCCGGGAAACCGGGGCUAAUACCGGAUAUGACCUCCUUGGGCAUCCUUGGAGGUGGAAAGUUUUUCGGUGAGGGAUGGGCCCGCGGCCUAUCAGCUUGUUGGUGAGGUAGUGGCUCACCAAGGCGACGACGGGUAGCCGGCCGGAGAGGGCGACCGGCCACACUGGGACUGAGACACGGCCCAGACUCCUACGGGAGGCAGCAGUGGGGAAUAUUGCACAAUGGGCGGAAGCCUGAUGCAGCGACGCCGCGUGAGGGAUGACGGCCUUCGGGUUGUAAACCUCCUUCACCAUUGACGAAGCUCUUUUGGGGUGACGGUAGGUGGGGAAGAAGCGCCGGCCAACUACGUGCCAGCCGCCGCAGUAAUAC